AGGGUUCUUUCUGGCCCAAGAACGCCUGAUCUAGCUCGUUAUACACCAACGCAUCGACCUGGUCGUUAUGUUCCUGAGUGUCCACUGCCUCGCGGGUCCACAUGGAGAUCGGCCUCAGCGGAGGAACUUGAGCGAUUGGAGUCACCCGUUCAGGGGAGCGACUCUCUCCGCCGGACGAGUGACGCCUUCUCUUACUCUGGCGCCCUGAGCGGUCCUCAUCCCUUCCGGGGGAACCCUCCUGCUGACAGUUGGGGCUCGCCCGACCAUCCUGGGGCUCCAACCUCUUGUCGUUUGUUUCAUCCUCUUGGGCCGGAGCACUUCGACCGCCCUCAAUGGAGUCGGUCCCGAUUACCUGCUGCUCUUGAUCGUCGAGUCCUUCAUCCUCAUUUCGAGGAACCCCGUCCUCCUGUUCCCCCUAACUGUCGGUCUCAGUUUCAUCAACUGGCACCUGCAGCGCGGCGAUCAAAGCGGCAUUAAGCUCCAUAUUAGCACCUGCACAAGAGUAACCAGAAGAACGGUUAAUCAAACAAAGAUCACAAGACAGACACACCUUUACAAAAAAUAACACCUUACCUCUAGCGCGCAAUAGGCACGCGUUCUUCCGAACGCUAAAAGUACAAAUGAAACGACUCGUUUUAGUGUUAUUGUGGGUUUAAGUUUUAUUGUUAAUUAUUAAUAUCAUUAUUAGAUAUAAGAAAAUUAGUUUAAAAAAAAAAAGAAAAAGAAUCAGAGAUGUGGAAAGGGAUUCACGUAACCCCCACCCCUUGAUUUAAAAAGUAAAAUAAAACUAACUUCCCACUAAAUCACAUAACCCACCCAUCCAGUACCAUUCUUUUCUUCUACCCUUCGUGAAUCAACGUCGCCUCUGUUUCUUUCGCCUACUUUGAGGCUGAAAGUUUUCUCCACAAAUGAAACACUGAACCCGUCCAUAGGAACUCAACCUUGAACGAAAUUUCCAUUCCACCGGUGGGAAGACUUCGGACAUUAAUUUGGGGAUUUAGGAUUUAUGCUCUGAUGAAGGAGAAGAGUACCCACUCUACAAAAAUUGCUCUUUGAUGCUAUUGAGAUUCACUGACUAGUGGCUCAUUCGCUUAUCGUGGAGUUGUUGAGAGCAGUCGUAUUGGUUCUUCGUAACUGUGAGUGGUUUUCAACUGCUAUGACAUAUUUUUAACAGUCUUAUAACUGAUUUAAUUACUUUAUCAUAUUGCCUAUUUAUCUAAAUUGGGGAAACAUGUUUUUUAUAUGUUUGACUAUCAUUCUUGAACUCUGAAAGCUGAUUUUAUGAAGCUGAUUUUGAGUAUGUUUUAUGAGUUGAUAUGAGAAGAGAAUGACAUUGGUUUAAUUCUGAAAUUGUGUGAAAUUGAGAUUGUGAACUUGAAAAGCUUUUAUGAGCAUUGAAAAGUUGAUGUUGAGAAUGUUAUUUUGAAAACCUUUGAUGAGUAUUGGAAAGCUGAUUUUGAGACUGUUGAUGAGACUUGAUAUGAUUUGAGAAAAUGGUUUUGGGGAUCCUUGAUAGAACCUCGUAGCCGUUAGCGGAGGUAACGACCUAGGUGCACCUAGCUAGUUUGAUUCCGGGAGGAGAGGGCUAUCCGUUAGAUGGAGCCGCCAGUGCACGGAAAGGGCUAUCAACGAGAUGUAGCUUCCCCCGAUGAGAUUGAUGAGAUAUGACAUGAUUCCGGGUGGAGAGGGCUAUCCGUUAGAUGGAGCCGCCUCUUGGGUAAGAUAAUCCUUAAGAGGAAAGGGCUAUCAACGAGAUGUAGCUUCCCCCGAUGACACGAUGCGACUUGAGAAAGGAAAGGGCUAUCCGCUAGAUGGAGCCACCCCUAUCGGAGAGGCCAUCCCUUAGGAGGAGAGGGCUAUCAGCGAGAUGGAGCCGCCUCAUGGUUCUACAUGUGUGACCCUAUUAAUUAUAUUUCUGGUUUUAUGUUUUUCAUAUCUGGACAUGAUUUUAACUGUAUUUAUUUGAAAUGGUUAUUUAUGAACUUUAUGAUUUUUGUCAAGUUCAUUGUUGAAAUGAUUUAAACUGGUAUUAUUGAUGAUAUAAAUUGUUUAUACUGAGUUGAGAGCGAAAAAAAUCGUGACUAGUUUGUUUCCCCUUCCUGUUCAUGGUGGUUGUUGACUGCUCACUAAGUCUUUGUGACUUACCCCAUUCCUUAUUUCCCUCCACAGAUUUUCAGGCAACUGAGUAGCAGACUGUUGUCAGAUUCAGACCAUUUGACUUAUUUCCUUUAGCAGGUUGUCAUAUUGGUGUCUUUUAUUUAAUCCUGGUUAUCUGCAGCUAUAGGGAGUCCUAGGUGGAUUUAGAUUUGGGAUUGUGAUUUAUUGUUAUAUUUUAAGAGUUGGCACUUGAGUGCUCGAGUUGAUUUUAUAUUUCACUUAAAAUACUGGUUAUGGAAGAACUUAUUGGCAGAUGUUGUAAAUUUGUAACUAUUGGAAUUACAAAAGAGACUCUAGUGUUUUUAUAUAUGUGUACAAAGAUAUUUCGAAUAAAUUGUUUGGAAAAUGAUUCUAUGAGGAAGAGGCUUGCAAGGCUAGGGUGGUAGUCUGUGCGCCGGUCACAGCUUAGGAUUUUGGGUCGUGACAAAGUUGGUAUCAGAGCUUUGGCUGUAGGUCCUAUUAGCUGCAGACAUGAGGUGGUGAUAGAAUCUCUCUAGUAAAUUGUGAACCGCGGCACAACUUACUUCAAAGAUGCUAUUAACGCCUCAUGAGAGUCUUAAUGUUGUUUCCAAGUGUGAUUUGAGUUCAUUCCUCAUUCACUGAUGUUUGAGUCAUGUCUUAUAUUUAAUGAGUAUUCUUUUGUUCAGUGAGGAUGCCACCUAGUUAGGAUUCUUAGUACAUGAUGAGUCUAUUAGCCAUCAUCUAAGCCAUUCUUAAAGUGGUUGUGGUUGACAUGGUAGAGUGGAUUUCUAGUACUUGUUGGUCACUGAUGUAGCUAAUGUUAUGGUGCCUAAAUCGAGGUGAGGAAACGCAUUAGCAAAAGAGCUUACAAUGGGUUUGUUUGGAUUAUAACAUUAGGUGAAACCAUGUAUUGGAGUUUUUACUGGGCAACAACAACAUAACCAACUUGAGACAGUUUAUGAGCGUCGACCAAGGAUUAAAUAGAGGGGAGAAUAUAAAGCAGGUGUCACUAUAGAGAUUAAGGUAACACUAAGUGGUUUAACUUUUCUGGUACUAGUGCAAGCGAGAAUCCACAAAGGUUUAUUGAUGUUUUUGAGAGUCUAUGGAGAGCACUUGGAUGCUUGUGCAUAAGGGUAGUAGAUUUAACAUUGUUGAGUUGGAGUGUGUAUCGUAUGAUUGGCGUGAUGACUUUAGUUGUACGAGAGAGGUGUGAUCACCUAUAAUAACAUAGGUGACUUUUCUCAGAAAUUGAUGAAUCGUAUUCUUCUAGAGAUUGUCAUAGAUGGUUUGAAUCACGUGCUUGAGUUGUUGGCGUAAACUGAGUAGAAUGAUACCGGAGAGUAGUUAUAGUAGAUAAUCUUAAAGCUUCGUGCAAAGACAUAGACUAGAUUUUGGAGGGGGCUUUAUGAUCAGUUUUUCCUCAAAUACAUUUUUGCACGAGAUCUACACCUUGUUUUACUUAUCGAAAGAUUCAUCAUCUAGCUUUCUUUGGAGAAAGUAGGGUGUGAAAUUAGUUCAUUCAGAUAAGUCAUAUUCGGAUGGAUUUACAUAUGGUUGUGGUGUGACUUCCUCUAGUCAUGAAUAAGCAUUAGUAGGAGCGACCUUAGUAUCUUCUCUGACUCUUUACAACACUUGUGAGGCAUUUGGUUUUAGAAAUUGGUUGUGAUGCAAAGGUUGUUUUGGACAUUCAUGAUUUUUGGGGAGAGACUCCAGAAAAGUUUUAUAACCAGGUUAUUAAUGCCUAAUUGAAAAUUGCUUUUGAAGCUUCAAUUUGAGAAAGAUAGUGAAUUUAUUAAAAUGGGAGGUUGGAUGUGUGGCGAAAGAUCAUUGUUACAAUUUUUAUUGGAUCAGUUUGGUAUAAAGUUGCUUUGUCUCUUAUAGAAAACUUAAUUACAUUGGAUUAGUUUCAACAUGAUACUGAAAUUGACUCUUGGGUUAAGACUUUUUGUCAUCCUGUUCUGGGGAAAUAUUGAGGAAGACAUGUGUUGUCAUAUAUACACAAAGAACCAAUAUUGGUAUUAUUGUUUUUAAGUUUCUAUAUUACAUAUUAUUAUUCUUAUCAUUAUUUCAUUCAAAUUCUUUGAAGGAGUCGUUGAUAGUUGAUUAUGGGAACCGUUAACUUGAGGUAUUUAUGGGGAUUGAGAGUGGUUGGUAGAAAUCAUAACUUUAGAAAUUGCUGAUCUUGAUGUGAUAUUUUGGUAUCAUGAUAUUUUGGACUGACAUAGCAAAUUAAUGAGAUUUGAAUUAUCUAGAGAGUCAUCUUUCUUAUUCAGUGAGUGAAGUUAGGGACCAUGAAAUCUAAUUUUAGCAUCGAAGUUAGAAGGUUACUAAGGAAGGGUUGUCAUGGAUACUUGACUUUGUCUAUAAGGACACUUAAGCAGCUGAAAUAAAAAUAGACGAGUUUCUUGUAGAGUGUGAAAUUCUUAAUGUAUUUUUGGAGAAGUUCCUGAUGUACCGCCCAAUAGGGGGAUAGAGUUUUCCAUAUACUUAGUUUCUGACACUAGUUUUGUUUGUGAGGAAGAAGAGAAUAAAUAUACAGUUAUGUGUGUACUACAGAAAAGUUGGAUAAUGUGACAAUAAAUAACAAUACCAUUUACCUCACCUGCAUGAGUUGUUGAUGGCUGCAAGGAGCACAAUUUUUAUUUUUAUUUUUAAAAAACAAAAGGACCUAUGAUUUCGGUAUCAUUAACCAGAGAUUAAGAAAGAAAGAAAAAGAAGAUGACUUUUAGAACAUGAUAAGAGUUAUUACUUAUUAUUCAUGUCUUUGGACUUAGUGAUGCCAUUGUUGUUUUUAUGGAUUUAAUGAGCCCCAUUCAUUCUUAGAUUUUCUAGGAUUGUGCUCAUUGAUUAUUGUUGAAUAUUCCCAAGGGUGAGGAAUGACACUAGAAACUUGGUGAUAAUAGAGUUGGGUUUGGGUUGCUUGUUCCAACUCAUUGUUGGUCAACAUGAAAAUUCAUUCUACUUUGGUUGAUGAUGUUGAAUAUGAUCAAGGUCAAGAUUCGUAGGUGAUGAAAGUGGUAGAGGAUUUCUAAGGUGAAAAGGUUCCACGUUCAAAGGUAGACUCUUGAUGACAUUUUAUGACUUUGAUGUUGGCUGUGUUGUGUGAGCCUAAUACUACUAGUAUGAGGAGGAAAAUAAUAGAGGAUGCUUAUCAUUAUUUUUUUAAAUCAUACAUUUGGGUUUUAAUCAAAGGCAUUAGGAUAUGAAGAAAUUUUAUUUAUGGGAAAGAAUGAAGAAAGACAUAGAAAAUUGAUUUUGAAUGUUUUGCAUGUUAGCAAGUGAAGGUUGAGCACUAAAGCGAGUGAUGUUGCUUCAGUCUAUUAAGAUACCAUAGGGAAAGUGAGAAGGUGUUGUUACGAACUUGGUGAGAGGUUUGCUUAUGAAUUUAAUGAGUUGUGAUUUUGUAUCAGUGAUUAUGGAUUAACUGGUUGAGCAUGAACACUUUUGCCUAUAAAAGUACUUGCACUACAACAUUGUGUAUCAAGAUUUACCUUGGUUGAGAUUGUUUGUUUGCAUGGUGUAAGCUUGUUUAUAAUUUCAGAUCAAGGAGCUUAAUUUAAUGCAUUGUUUUAGAAGACUUUCAAAGUUGUUGUGGGGUCACAUUUGAAUUUGGGUACCACUUUCUAUCCUUAAAUUGAUGGUUGAUUUAAGAGGAUUAUUCAGAUCUCGGAAGAUAUGUUUUGUGCUUGUGUUUUUAGACUUUAAAAGGAGAUGAGAGCAGAAUUUGUCUUUAAUGAAGUUCUCUUAUAAUAGCCGCUACCAGUCUAGCAUUAAGAUUGUACAAUUUGAGGCCAGGUAUGCUAGGAGAUGCAGAUCACCAAUAGCUUGGUUUGAUGUUAGAGGAGCAAAGCUUGUAGGCUCAUAACUUAUCCAAGAUACAAUUUAGGAAAAGGUUAAGAUGGUAUGAAACUAAUUGGUUACAAAUAAGAGUAUGAAAAAGUGUUAUGCUGCUAGGAGGAGAUGCCCUUUAGAGUUCGUAGUUGCAGAUCAUAUGUUCUUACGCGUUUCCCCCAAUGAAAUGAGUGUUAUGAUUGGAUAAGAAAGGGAAGUUAAGUUCAAGAUUCAUUAGAUUGUUUGAGAUCUUGAAGAGAGAUGACUUUGUAGCGUAUCAAUUGAUGUUUUUCCCAUACCAAUUUGAAGUCCACCUGGUUUCAUAUUUCUAUGCUUUGAAGACACCUAUAUGUUCAUUCUCAUCUUAUCCCUCAUGAGGAUGCACAACUAAAUGGGCAUUUAUAUCAUAUGGAGAAUUUAGCAGUCGUAGUUGAUAGAAGGGUGAAACAAUAACGUUCUAAGAAUAUUGGUCCAGUGAAAAUCUUUGAUAAGAACAAUCUGCAGAAAAGAUGAUUCAGAAGUCCGAGACCAAAAAGCGCGAGAAGUAUCCCCACUUGUGUGAAGCUCAAGGUGAUUUUGAGGAAUUUCCUGAGGAUCAACACCUUGCUUGUGAAGAAGAGUUUGAAGUUUUUGCUGGAGAACCUUCAGAUGAACAUUGCGGAUUGGUUCGCAAUGGUCCACCCUUCGGGGGGGAUUAGGUACGAGAUGAUCGACCAGGACGACCCCGGGUCGUGGGUGGUUGACCCCGCGAGCCACCGAGCGACGUAUUCGGGGCGUAUCAUGGAGGACCACGUGGAUAGUGGAGGACUCUUGAGGUCAGGAGUGUUGAGGCGAUGCUCUAUCAGCUUCAACUUGCCACCGGGCGUUCACUGUGGACCAGGUCUUGGAGGAGCACCGCCGCCACCGUCAUCUUCAGAGGAGGAGGAUCCCUCAGAGGAGAUUCCAGUGGGAGUGCCUUCGGCAGGGUCUAGUGCACCCUCCGUUGCGAUCAUUGAUGAUCAGGGUUCGGGCCCUAAGCCCGUGAGUCCAGCUUCGGAGAGCGUUGCAGGUGCGAGGGGAGGACGGAUAGGGUUGAUAGACUUGGUCGUUCUGGAUUCUGAUUCAGACGACGAUCAUGCUGACACAUAGUUUUGGGUGUUGGUAUGAGCUCCUCGAGUUGGGAUUAGUGUAGGAGUAGAGUUUUUAGCUCUGACAGUCUUGCUUCAUUUGUUACUUAGGGGACAGGGUAGAUCCGCCUAUAGAUUUUUGUGUGGUUUCCUUAUGGGAAUCACAGAGAGUUGGUUGGACUAGGAAGUCUUAUUUUCAGGCCAUUGGGUCAGCUGAUUCUCAGUUUUGAGGGAUAGUGUUGCGGGCACUUCACCCUUUUCAUUUGGUUUGUAUAUAUUGCCUACGGGCGUUGCACUUUUCUUUCCGUCACUGGAGGUUACUCGUGACGAGGUUGCUACUACAGCGGGGGCUGUUUAUAUAUUGCAUAUUAGUUCUGAUUUUUGUUAUUGUUGGGUUUUAUUUAAUUCCGUCGUGUCUUAGUUAUUAUUAUAAAAAAAAAAUAUUCACGUUUUUCCGCAUUAAGUUUAUUUUGGUUACUAAAGUGACGCCACCGAAAUCGGGGUGUUACAGUUCCGGGGAACCCUGACCCGAGACGGACAGAGUACCCGGGACGACCAUGUUCCCCCCAGGACGUCCCUGACGUGGGACAGUUUAGUAUGAGGGCCCCCGGUUAGAGAGCCUGAGAAGAUCCUGCUUCUGGGCCCUACCACCUAGGGUAAGGACAAGACCUAGGGCCCACCGAAUAGGGGUUGACCUAGGCCAACCAUCUUAGGGAGUAGGUAGGCAGGUACAGAUCCAUAGGGGCCCCAGACCGUUGAAUCACUGUUCCUUGGCAGGUACCACAGGUAAUCCAACGGCAGGUUGUGCCCUGCGUACGAGCCAUGCGUGACGUUGCAUGGCUCCAACCCUAAUCUCACCUCCCCUAUAUAAGGGGAGCCCCUAUUCUAUUGAAAGGUAACGUAUUCUCACCAUAUUCACCAUUCUCACUUCUUUCCUUACUGACUUUAGCAUCGGAGUACCUUGCAGGAGCCCCCUCCGGGACGUAACCAGCUCAUGAGCCCUACAGCACGUUCAGGUCCCCCUCUCCUACCCCUUGUCAACGGCUAACUUGAUCAUUCCCUAAUCAAAAGCACUCCCCAGAGAAAGAGAGUUGUGUCGCAAAGAAGAAUCCACGUCGGCAAAUGAGACCUCAGUGCCAUAGGUAAGAAAAAGGGGCCUGAAAUUGGAACAAGAGGCUUGAAAACCACCACCCUCUUUAAAAACUUGCUCCCUGAUGUCCUCUUUCAACAAAUCAUCGUCGAGGUCGUUACUAUCCAAGGGAGCUUUGACAGGUCAAGCGAACGACGAUCGCUCAUAUACAAAAGAAAAUACUAGGUUGGAUCAAGAAUCGGAUGUCGAGAGUAGAAACCCAUUCGAAGUAACAAGUCUAGGGGAAGACGAAUCUGUUUGUGUAGAAAACACUAACGGAGAUACAAAGACAAACGAAUGGGCUACAGACAAAACUAUAGCUAGGAGAAUAGGGCAUCCCCGAUAAUUGAAUAAUAGAGGAAGGAAGAAGAAGGAAUUGGUUGCGGUGAUCUUGAUGAUAUUGGGACGCCAAAGGUGAUAGAGGCUUUACCAAAAAGUGUCAACCAAUUAAUUUUGUCAGAGGCAGAAGACUCAAAAGAUGUCUUGAAAAGAGUGAGAAGAGCAUUGGUGGUGGGGAAAAACCUUGGCCUAAUCUUUUAUUGUCUUGGAGAUAUUCCUUUUCAAGGGUUGGUGGAGCAGAUUGAGUCACACAGAGCCGGUUGUGUUUCUCGUGCUUUGUUGUGCUUGUUGCGUGUCUUUGAUUUUUGGUUAUGGGUAGCGCUUGUUUUAGAGGCUAGUUCUUUAGAUUUUUUGGUUGCCCGGGGAAUUAAGUUUGUAUUUUAGGGUUUUUAGCUUGGGCGGUCGAUUUGCUUGAUGUUGAGUUGGCUGGUGUAUUUCUUGUUUGUUUUUGUUUUUUUAAAGUAUUUUCUCAGGAUUUUUAAUUUAGAGUUUAAUUUUGAUGCACCGACGGUGUAAAGUUUUUUUACACCGUCAACCAAUCAGAUUUCAAGGAUGUGAGAAAAUCUCUCUUUUCAUUUAAUUUCAUUAAUUGACGUGGCACAUCCUUAAAAUCUGAUUGGUUGACGGUGUAAAAAAACUUUACACCGUCGGUGCAUCAAACUUUUUCUCUUUAAUUUAUAAUAUCUUUUCCUUUAAAAAAAUUAACUUAUAUAUAUGACUUAUUUGAUAAGAAACAUUUAACACAAUUUAGAACCUGGAACACAUAAAUUCUGGGUCUUCAAACCCGUAACACAUACAUUCUGGGUUUUAAAACCCAUAAGCAAAAGUACAUAUUAUUAUAUUACUAGUGUUUUUUACCCGCGCGUUGCACGGGAAAUAUGUCUAUUGUAUUUGAUACAUUAAUUAAUACUUUGAUUAUUAAAAAUAUAUUAAACAACGAAUGAAAUAGAAAAGUCAGAAUUGAUGAGUAAAGUGGACAUAAAGACUUCUCUUCUAAGCCCGAUUGAGACCAAGAGGAACUCAUUUCACAUUCUUUGUAAAUAUGAAGACGAUAACACAAAUCAUAGAUAUAAAGAAUUAUCAGUACAUAUUAAUCUUGAAAAAAAAUUAAUGUGAUAGUAGCACAAAUCAGGAUUGUGUAAGAUAUAUCAUAAAGUAUAACAUUAUUGUGUUUAUUCCAACUAAGUAGGGAUGACAAUGGGUAGGUACUAUAGUACCAUCUCCAUACCCGCGUUUUUAAAAAUUACAUGUACUUGUCUCCAUACUCACGUGGGUAGCAACUCGAAGCUCUCCAUCUUUAGACAAUUCAAUGUCAUUAUAGGAAGCUAUUCAUCUUUGCCAAAAUCUAAAUCUAUGGAUGACAAUGAGUCUCAAAAUCAUAGGGUACCCGCAAAAAAUAUCCACUAUGGGUAGGGUAAAAAACCGCUAAAUGGGUAUGAGGUUGAGUAUAGAUAAUUACCCGCAAAAAAUAGAGGGUAUGGGUGCGGGUAUGGGUACUAUAGUACCCAACCGGCCCAUAUCCGCACACACAUGUUAUUAUUAUUAUUAUUAUUAUUAUUAUUAUUAUUAUUAUUAUUAUUAUUAUUAUUAUUAUUAUUUGGGAAUAUAUUAACAAAUUAACUUAAGCUAUAGCUUUCAAACUCACUCUUUU